UUGUUUCUUUACUCACCACGUUUCAAAGUAGCUGACAACUUGACAGAGAUGCGUCUCCUGUUUGCUGUUUCCCUAGCUGUCUACAUCCUCUGUGUUCUAGGGGACAGGACUCCGUGUCAGCACGAAUGUUACCCCUAUAGAAUAAAAUGUCACAAGGACUGCAGGUUCGAUUACAUGUCCAACUCUUUCAGGAAGAAGUUCAACAGAUGCUCUAAGAAAUGUGAAAAUAUGUUUGCUGAGUGUAGUAACAAAUGUGAAUGUAAAGCCCUAAACAACAGAGAAAGAGAAGGGUGUAGGUACAGUUGUCAGAAUUACCCGUAUUUUAACGAUUGGGACAGAAAAAUGUGCUUAUUGGAGUGUAAAUUCGAUUUCGGUGAAAACUACAGUAAAUGUUGAUUGAUAAACAAUUCGGCUUCUCUUGUUUGCGGACAUAGUGCAAUGAUUCUUAAAUUCUUUUUUGUACAUUUCGAAUAUCUGCAUUCAGUCAUUGUCGUUAAAUGUAAGUGUGCAGAUGUGAUUUAAACAGAGUUGUGAAAAUGUCCAAAUAGGGUGGACGCAAUGCAGUUCAGUAUAUACUUUUGUAAAGAAAUGUUCCUUGUCUUCUUUUUACACAUGUAAUACACAGUGAAAGUCAAAACCCAAAGGAAAAUAUUAGUUAAUGGUGCAUAAUAAAUUGGUUUAUUCCAAUGGGAGAAAUCCAUUAUAGUGUUACGCAUGUAUCAUGCGCAAUAUAUUGAGUUUUUAAUAAAGUUAUAUGUUUUACCA